GUCAAUUUGUAAAAUAGAAGUUUCAAUGGCACGUUUCAAUGUUAUAUAUCUAUCAUCUAUCUAUGUAUUUAUAUAUUUAUUUGUGUAUUUUUUUAUUUAAGGUGAUAUGUAACAAACUUGAGAUCUUAUAGGAUAGGAGAACACUAGGACACUAAUUAGGAACUGGUCCCAGGAACAAAGACCUUCUGGACUCAUCUGACAAGAUAAGAAUCAUCAAGCAUUCUUCCAGCAGAAAGUGACAAAGCCCUCCUUGAGCUGCUCAUGAGAAUUCACAAAUUUUUCAGAUAAAAGAUGCCUAUUUUAUUCUGGCUGAAAGCAUGAACAGAAUAAACAAUGAGCUCUGUGAAGAAUGUUCUAUGAACCCGAAUCAAACUCAAACUCCUGUGUCACUCCGGUACGCCUGAUCACUGGAUAUAACCACGUAUUGGUCCAAACUAGCUCCAGAUCCAGGAGUCCCACCCAUUAGAGGCUGCCUAGAUUGACAAAGGGAGGGCACAGCCUUCAGUGACACAGUACAUGGUUCUCCCACCAGUUGAAGUGACAUACCCUAUCAGUUUUCCCUUCGGUCUGAAUGCUGGUGUGACUGCGGACCUCGUGUUCCUCUUCAAGGCUGUGUAAGAGGCAUGGCUGGGGAGGCCUCAGGAACCUUACAAUCAUGGUGGAAGGUAAAGGGGAAGCAAGCACAUCUUCACAUGGAGCAGGAGAGACAGAGCCAAGGGGGAAGCGCUGCACACUUUUAAACAACCAGAUCUGGAACCUCCCUCUCUGUUACUACUCCCUUUGGAUUUAUCCAGUAGUCUUAGACGUCACCAGGGCCAAGCCAUGCAUAUAUAGAUUGAAAUGUUGUUUUCAAAACCUACUCAAGCUAUCUCUUGAUGAACAAGAUUAGUACCAUCUGAUUACAACCCUGAAGAGUCUAGAUUCCUUAUUCUGCAAAAUGGAUUUAUUGUAUCUCAAGGCACUGUGAAGUUUGCAGUAGCAUGUAUAGGCAAAAAGGAAAGUCCAAAGAGAGGAAAAGAAAGCAGGAGAGAUCUGAAAUGACACAAGAAGUGACUCAGAAUGGGAAGAUUGUGCACUCCUUGUUGUCCCCUAAUGCACAUGGAAGUAUGCAACAGAAGCUGUGAAAAUAACCCAGAGAGAAAGAAAAAAAUGAUGUAAAUUUAAACAUAGCAUAUUCUGGAAACAGUAUGCUUAUGGAACAGCCAGAGAGAUUUUCAAAACUUGAUCAUCUAAAUGCAGAGAACAGUUUCAAG
rnacentral:lncRNA from 1 species